GACGAGCGCUGGCGGCGUGCCUAAUACAUGCAAGUCGAGCGCAGGAAGCUGGCGGAACUCUUCGGAGGGAAGGCAGUGGAAUGAGCGGCGGACGGGUGAGUAACACGUAAGGAACCUGCCUCAAGGAUUGGGAUAACUCCGAGAAAUCGGAGCUAAUACCGGAUAGUUCAACGGACCGCAUGGUCCGCUGAUGAAAGGCGCUCCGGCGUCACCUUGAGAUGGCCUUGCGGUGCAUUAGCUAGUUGGUGGGGUAACGGCCCACCAAGGCGACGAUGCAUAGCCGACCUGAGAGGGUGAUCGGCCACACUGGGACUGAGACACGGCCCAGACUCCUACGGGAGGCAGCAGUAGGGAAUCUUCCACAAUGGACGAAAGUCUGAUGGAGCAACGCCGCGUGAGUGAUGAAGGUUUUCGGAUCGUAAAACUCUGUUGUAAGGGAAGAACACGUACGAGAGGAAAUGCUCGUACCUUGACGGUACCUUACGAGAAAGCCACGGCUAACUACGUGCCAGCCGCCGCGGUAAUAC
rnacentral:rRNA from 1 species